UACGGGGGGAGCAAGCGUUGUUCGGAUUUACUGGGCGUAAAGGGCGCGUAGGCGGCGCGACCAGUCACUUGUGAAAUCUCCGGGCUUAACCCGGAGCGGCCAAGUGAUACUGUAGUGCUAGAGUGCGGAAGGGGCUACUGGAAUUCUCGGUGUAGCGGUGAAAUGCGUAGAUAUCGAGAGGAACACCUGCGGCGAAGGCGGGUAGCUGGGCCGACACUGACGCUGAGGCGCGAAAGCCAGGGGAGCGAACGGG
rnacentral:rRNA from 1 species